rnacentral:rRNA from 1 species
UACGUAGGGAGCAAGCGUUGUCCGGAAUCAUUGGGCGUAAAGCGCGCGUAGGUGGCCCCAUAAGUCCGCUGUGAAAGUCAAAGGCUCAACCUUUGAAAGCCGGUGGAUACUGUGGGACUAGAGUACGGAAGAGGCGAGUGGAAUUCCUGGUGUAGCGGUGAAAUGCGCAGAUAUCAGGAGGAACACCAAUGGCGAAGGCAGCUCGCUGGAACGGUACUGACGCUGAGACGCGAAAGCGUGGGGAGCAAACAGG